CCCGCUCCAGUGACGCAGCACAGCUCCGUGCGCACAGAUGCUGGAGUGGAAGCGACAUGCGCGCUCAUCUCGGUGGGACUGAACGCAUCGAAAACCGGAGACGGGAGCGAAGAUUGCCCGGUUUGCGUCCGUUAUGAGCCUCAGACCGCGCGGAACGAUGCUCAGAAUGAGUCACUCCGCGGGGAACAGGACUUAAAAAGCUCCGGUCCAUCCAUCUGGACACUUUUUACCCUCAACCCUUCCCCUUUGAUAGAAAGAUAAGAAUCCAGGCAGUCAUCUUCCAGUUUACAGCCCUCUUUGGGUAUCUAACCCCAGUUUAAAGACCAGUCUCGGUUUGAUUUUAGCACGAUGUGGAAGACCGGGAUCCUCAUGCUGCUGUGGGUGUUUCUGGCGUCCGGCGAACUCCAACAAGAGACGGAGCCGCGGAGACUCCCACCCCCGGGAAAGUUGGAUUUCGGUUAUGUGCCUGCGGGAGUUUACGAGACUCUGGCCCAUUACGAACCGGGACCCAUAGGGAUCUUGUUCCAUAUGGUGCACGUUUUUCUGCAUGUCGUGCAACCCAACCCUUUCCCACAAGAUCUUAUUGUCAAACUGGCAAAGGACAAGUUUGGAGCCAUUCAGACUGAAUACCAAAAGCCAGAGAACAUAGUGCUGACCCUCCAGGCCAUCUACUACGAGAUAGGCUUCCUAGUAUGUGCGGCAGUCGGCCUGCUGUUUGCCGUUUUGGUGCCGAUAGCUGGCCUCUUCUUCUGCAUGUGCCGCUGCUGUGACAACUGCGGCGGCGAGAUGCACCAACGCCAGAGGAAGAACGCAGACUGCCGGCGUGGCCUGCUGGGAACACUACUCUUCGCCACCUCACUGGUCAUCACGAUCGGAGUGUUGUGUGCAUAUGCUGCCAAUCAAAACCUGAGCUCUCAGGUGAAGAACAUACGGAGAUUGGUCAACAGCAACAUGAGGGACCUCCACACCUUCGCUAACGAUACACCAAUGCAAAUUGAUUACCUAAUAUCCCAAUACGCCACAGCCAAGAACAAAGUCAUCUAUGACCUAGAUAAUAUAGGUCCAUUAUUAGGUGGAAGGAUACACGAUCAGUUGGAUAAGGAGGUCCAUCCUGCCUUGGACAGAGUGCUCAAUAUGGCUGGAGUGAAAAUCGAGAGAGCCAUCAAAGCCAUGCGAGAAACCAAGGAGGCCCUGGAGAACGUCAGUGCGGGUCUAGAGGUACUGCAGGUAGGAACAGGGAAACUCAACUUCAACCUGAGCCUGGUCCGGACCAGUAUCAACCGCACCCUCAAUGACCCGGGCUGUCAUGACGAGGAGUCAGACGCCACCUCUGCCCAGCUGUGCCGCAACAUUCGCCAGUCUCUGUUCCAGCUGCAGAUCAGUGCCAACUUCACACGGUUACCAAACGUGAAUGCUCAACUGGAAAAGGUGAACCAUGUCAUGAAAACGGACCUCAGUGCUAUUGUCCAGAGGGGCUACUCUUCUUUAAACGACACGCCACAUACGGUGAUUGAACAGACCAGAGGUGUUGUGGAGAGUGUACAGAGUUUGGUGGACGACAUUGGCAAAAACAUCAGCAGCUAUUCCAAGGUAUUCCCUGUGCAGAGUUCCCUGUCCAACUUCACUAUCUUCAUUAGCCAUGUCCAUGCCAAGAUUGAAGACUACUACCCUGAAAUUGACAGAAUGGACUUCUACAGGUGGAUUGGCUGUAUUGCUCUUUGCUGCAUGGUGGUCCUGGUCCUGGCCUUUAACUACCUGGGCCUCCUGUGUGGCACCUUGGGAUACGACAAGCACGCCUCACCUACGACACGAGGCUGCAUCUCCAACACAGGAGGAACAAUGCUCGUGGCCGGCGUUGGAUUUAGCAUCAUCUUCUCCUGGGUGCUGAUGGGAGUGGUGACCACCAUCUUCUUGGCUGGAGGAAACAUGGAGAAACUCGUCUGUGAUCCCUUCAACACCAAAGAAGUCUUCAAGGUUGUGGACACCCCAUAUCUGGUCAACCCGGAUUGGAGAAACUUCAUCCCUGGCUACAUGUACAACGACUCCGACCUAGAGCUGACGGCAGAGAGCUUAUACAGUACUUGCAAAGAGAACAAAGGCAUCUACUCAGCCAUGCGUCUGGACAAAGUCUUCAACAUCUCCUUGUUCCUGAACACUACAGUGUUUACAAAGGAUGUGGUGAGCCAUCUGGACAGUGUUAAGAUCGAUCUCAGGGGAAUAACCCUGUUAGAGAAAGAGGGGAAGCAGAACCUUCUGGAUUUCUCUGAAGCAGGGCUGUCAGAAAUCAACUAUGCAGACUACCUGGAAGAGGUCAACAAAGGGGUCACUGUGAUUGAUCUUCUCACAUUUGCCAGAGAGCUGGAGGCCCAGACAGAUCUCAUGCCCAGAGGUGCUCUGCAGACUUCUCUGAAAGGCCACGUCGGUACUCUGCGGCAGAUCCACAGUCAACAGAUCAUCCCCAUGGAGCAGGCCAUGAAAUAUGUUAGAGCAAGGAGCGCACUGAACCAGAGUAUAAGGUUCCUGGAAAGAACAGCCUCAGACCUGCCAAACAAAGUUUUAGCAGUUCUCGAUGCCAUCAAAGCUGCCCAGUAUCUCAUCUCCCAGAAUGCUACACAUUUAAUCAAUCGGGAAACCGAAAAAUACACAGCGACCAUUGUUGGCUACUUCCGUCAAUACAUAGAAUGGGUCAAAACAUCUUUGGUGAUGGAUGUCGCACCAUGCAAGCCCUUCAGCAACAUGGUUGACACGGCAGAGAUCAUUGUUUGCAAUUUUUUGGUUGACUCCAUGAACACAUUCUGGAUGGGUAUGGGCUGCAGCACUCUCUUCCUUCUCCCGAGCAUCAUUCUCGCAGUAAAACUAGCCAAGUACUACCGCAGGAUGGACACAGAGGAUGUUUACGAUGACAUUGAGACAAUUCCCAUGAAAACUAUGGAAAUUGGUAAUAAUGGUUAUCAUAGUGAGAGCUCACAAGGUAUCCCAAAUCCUAUGAUGACAAGCAUCCCUACCUAUGACACUAUGAACAGGUUCCCGCGGGCCUCGGCUCCUCCGAGGCACAUCGACUGGUGACAGAGAGCUGGCUCUUGUUCUGGCUCCUGAAAGGUACUGAAAACCUUUGCAGCAGACCACUGUUGCUCUAACGCUGUCUCAUUUAAUCUCUUCCUUCUAAUCUUGAAUCUCACUUUUGCACAGCUGUCAUCUGGUCCUGCUGUUUGUCUGUCACCACCAAACUCAUCCAUCUUUCUCCUGUUUUUUUAAUCGGAUUUCUUUUUACUUCUUAUGUAACCAAACUGUAACACUUCUUUACAGCUUGUUUUAGGGCUUUUCUGCUCAUAAUGACUUUUCAGGAAAACCAUCACGCAAUCAACUCAACCUCCUCAACCAGGCAGAUUAAAGCCUCAUGCAGUUACCUGCUCCCCCCUGCCUGCAGGACAUCAAACUAUUCUCCCUAAGCAUCAAUCUGAGCCACGCUUGCUCUGCUUUUUUUUUUUCCUUGAAGGACUGCUGUGUCUGCGUUUACAUUGGUUCGGACACAAACCCAACCUGAAAAAUAUAUCAGCAACAGGACAUGACAAUAACUGGGAUGCCUGUUCAUAUUAAUGUACUUAUUUGUGCUUAAGAAGACAGUGGCUGAAAGGUCAUCCGAAGGUCACGGUAAGCUGCUAGAGGAAACUUUUUCUUCUGCACUCAGAAUGGACGUAACACAUUCAACAGAUGUUAAUACUAUAAGUGGGAAAGUCUGUCAUUACAUCUGCAAAGCAAAAGUGCAAAUUAACAUGAAAUUGAAUGUGUUAAAAAGCACUGUUGGUUGGGAAUGGCACAUCCUUUUUGACUGCAGCAUGUGUGAGUUGGUAUGUGUCAGUGUUCCUUAACGACUGAGAACGGGGUGAUUUGAACAAAGAUAAAAAUAUAAGAAGAGGAUGGUCCCAGGUGGAUGUGUGACUAAUAUAAAGAAAUUUAACAUCAUUUACAAAAGAAAAAAAAAUGUUUACAAUAUUACAAUACAUCCAGACAUCUUUGUUGGUUUUUGGGCGAAUUGCAAAUGACAGGUUGCCUUUCAGAAGUUUUUUUUCCCCACACUGGUUUUUGACACAUAUGCUCCUUCUCAUAAGGGAAAAUCCACCAACCGAUGCUCUUACACUAUUAUUAUCGGCCACUAACACUAUACAUGAUGUUUAAAAUCGCCUCUUUUUUAACAUACCCAUUUUCCCCAGUGUAAUCUACUUUCGUGCCAGGUCUUCAUUUCCUACAUUUCCCAGAAUGCCUUUAAACAACUCUGAAAAUGAUAAUAAAAAUAAUUAUAGACAUUAAUAUGAAUGCAUGUUCAAAGCGUAACAUGGCUUGUUGCCGCAUUCUGAUUUAAUGUCAAUGUCCGGGGCUGCUAAUUUGUUUUAACAUUUAACAAACUGUUGGCACUAAAUUCCGACUAAAUUUUGAACUAGUAGUUCUUUGCACAGAUUGAUUUAUUUGAAUAGUUUUUGACACCUUAAAAAAGAAAAAUCACAAAGAUUUGAGUACUCAGACAACAACAUUGUAUUAUGUGAACAAAAAUUCAUUUUAGCUUUUUCUUUCUUUGGGACCAUUCAGAUUUAUCCUCGGAUCAUUUAGGGAGCCUCACCCAGUUUGUGUAACACUGUUUUAGAAAGCCAAAAAGCACAUAUCUGACCACAAAUCCUGCCAUCAAGAUUUGGCCAUUAUUCCCAACAAUACACCACCAAACAGCAAAACCCAUCAACAAACGCAUCACCAAAUACAAUUUUACCUUUAAGUGUUUGAGGUGGAUUUUCCCUUUAAGUCAAAGCAUAACUUCUUAAUAUAUCACACACUAUGACACAGAUGUCAGAAUUAUAGAUUGCGUUCACUAACAUGACAUUUUUACUGAGAUCUUUCUUGCUUGCUUUUCAUAGUGAUGGUAAGUUUAAAGUGGAGAAAUACUUUCUCAAGCCAAAUUGUUUUUUUUACUGUAGGUCUUAUGUCUUUAGUGGUCUUUCAAUUAUGUGCUUAUUUUUUCUGCUUUUUAAAACCCCACAGUAGCUAUGGAUAAAUUGAAAGAAAAACUAUAUAGAACGAGUGAAUGUACUCAAGAGCUAUUUUUUAUUUUGUAUAAAUGAUAUUGGCUGAGGAAUAUGCUGAACUCUCAUCACUAACGCAUUGGGCAAGCCAAUGCAGUUCUCCCACCCGCCUCGCUUCAGUGUUUACAGGUUAGAUCUGCAGCGGCUGUCAGCGACGUAGUAAAGACGGUAAAACAUUAGACAAUCCGUUCAUGCGACAAUUCAAAUAGUAGAAAAGAAGUAGAAUGCUAUAUAGUUGAUGGUGUUGGUGCACACUG